AUUGAACGCUGGCGGCAUGCUUUACACAUGCAAGUCGAACGGUAACAGCACUUCGGUGGCUGACGAGUGGCGAACGGGUGAGUAAUACAUCGGAACGUGCCUAGUAGUGGGGUUAACUACUCGAAAGAGUAGCUAAUACCGCAUGAGAUCUAAGGAUGAAGGCAGGGGACCUUCGGGCCUUGCGCUACUAGAGCGGCUGAUGGCAGAUUAGGUAGUUGGUGGGAUAAAAGCUUACCAAGCCGACGAUCUGUAGCUGGUCUGAGAGGACGACCAGCCACACUGGGACUGAGACACGGCCCAGACUCCUACGGGAGGCAGCAGUGGGGAAUUUUGGACAAUGGGCGCAAGCCUGAUCCAGCAAUGCCGCGUGCAGGAUGAAGGCCUUCGGGUUGUAAACUGCUUUUGUACGGAACGAAAAGCCCUCUUCUAAUACAGGAGGGUCAUGACGGUACCGUAAGAAUAAGCACCGGCUAACUACGUG
rnacentral:rRNA from 1 species